UUUUAAAUGAAGACCUGUAUGAACGGCUCCACGAAGGCUUAACUGUCUCCUUUUUCAAGUCAAUGAAAUUGAUCUCCCCGUGCAAAAGCGGGGAUACACCCAUAAGACGAGAAGACCCUAUGGAGCUUUAGAUGUUACAACAAGCAUUAUUGCUAUUCCCAAACAAAGGGAUACCACCAGCCCCUGCCCAAACAUCUUCGGUUGGGGUGACCAUGGGAAACAAGAAACUCCCACGUCUCUGUAUUGGAAUCUCCUUAACCCAACAAACUUCUUCAAACGAGAGCCACCACUCUAGUUAACAGAAUUUCUGACCACCGAUCCGGCAACGCCGAUUAACGAACCAAGUUACCCUAGGGAUAACAGCGCAAUCCCCUUUCAGAGCCCAUAUCGAUAAGGGGGCUUACGACCUCGAUGUUGGAUCAGGACAU
rnacentral:rRNA from 1 species